rnacentral:rRNA from 1 species
GAGAGUUUGAUCCUGGCUCAGAACGAACGCUGGCGGCAGGCUUAACACAUGCAAGUCGAGCGCCCCGCAAGGGGAGCGGCAGACGGGUGAGUAACGCGUGGGAAUCUACCCAUCUCUACGGAAUAACGCAUGGAAACGUGUGCUAAUACCGUAUACGUCCUUCGGGAGAAAGAUUUAUCGGAGAUGGAUGAGCCCGCGUUGGAUUAGCUAGUUGGUGGGGUAAAGGCCUACCAAGGCGACGAUCCAUAGCUGGUCUGAGAGGA